rnacentral:rRNA from 1 species
GUACACUCCUGCGGGAGGCAGCAGUGGGGAAUAUUGGACAAUGGGCGCAAGCCUGAUCCAGCCAUGCCGCGUGAGUGAUGAAGGCCCUAGGGUUGUAAAGCUCUUUCACCGGUGAAGAUAAUGACGGUAACCGGAGAAGAAGCCCCGGCUAACUUCGUGCCAGCAGCCGCGGUAAUACGAAGGGGGCUAGCGUUGUUCGGAUUUACUGGGCGUAAAGCGCACGUAGGCGGACUAUUAAGUCAGGGGUGAAAUCCCGGGGCUCAACCCCGGAACUGCCUUUGAUACUGGUAGUCUUGAGUUCGAGAGAGGUGAGUGGAAUUCCGAGUGUAGAGGUGAAAUUCGUAGAUAUUCGGAGGAACACCAGUGGCGAAGGCGGCUCACUGGCGCGAUACUGACGCUGAGGUGCGAAAGCGUGGGGAGCAAACAGGAUUAGAAACCCCGGUAGUCCC